rnacentral:misc_RNA from 1 species
UUCUAACGGAACGAUUAUGAUUUGACGUGAUUUUUUUGCGGUUUUGUUCUUUAAAUGUGAUUAAUCGAGUUUUGAUCAAGGAACGAGCUUGCUUGAAACUUUUAGUGCUAAAAUACAUGCUAGGUUUUCAGUGGAGGUUCUUAUCAUGCCGAUGAAAUACCUUAUGUGUUUGGAUUUCCAAUUCGGACAAACGCAUCAAUAUUUGGCCACACGCUUUCAAAUUAUUCCAAAGAAGAAAAGCAAAUUUCGAGGACAACGAUGACGUUUUGGUCAAAUUUUGCAAAAACUGGAAAUCCAAACGUACCAGGAAAAGCCUCAUUAUUCUGGCCAGCGUUUAAUCUGACGUCACAGCAUUACUUUCAAAUAUCCAAUCAAAUGACGGAGGCGUCAGUAAAGGACAUGGCGCAGUUUCAUCCAAGACGAAUGGCGUUUUGGUCACAUCUGAUCCCACAUAUGAUAAAUUUACUGCAAAGUACCAUACAUGAAACAAAAGAGAUAUCACAAACUCAAAAUGAUACAUUUCAUUUAGAUUUAACGGUAGUUCCAAUCAAAUAGAACUCUUCAUAUCUAUAAACAGAUUUUCUGCCGGUUAUGUAUGAACAUUUCAACAUUAUUUUUGACAACAAAAUUACAAGCAACAUUCUUCUCCUUUCAGAAUUUACGAAAAUUACUACUUUUCGACAGAGCCUCGCAACUCGUUUAAUAAAUUCAAUAUGAAAAGACACUUGUGUAAUGUCCUCUGUGUAUAUAAUACGUUAAUUGAAGAAAUACAAGGUUUGACCUGCAUGCAGAUCUGUAAUUUGCAUGAACAUUUCAUUUACAUAUUUAUACCUGUUCUUUAAGGGUUUGCAUUUUCGCUACAAAUUGGGGUGAAAAUAGGGCAAAAACACAUAUGAUAACAUUGCAGCAUAUUAAAGGGAAGUAACUGAUGGACACUUGACUAAGUGAGACAAUACGCACAUAAUACUUAUGACAAAAAUAACACUCCACAUCGUUGAACGUUAAAACAGUGUGUAGCGUACUUCAGCCAGAGGGGUCAGGAUGCCUUGAUGAAAUACACUACAAAAUACAGGACUACUGGAGUUUCAAUACACCAGCAGUAGUAUUACUUCAAUUAAGAUAUAGAAGACGACAACGAUAUCAGUUGUAAUACUCUGUAUUAAAUGCAAUAAUGCAUUAUAACCGACAUAUAACAUACAAAUAGCAAUCCUAAAUCCUAAAAAAUAAUCAUAUUCAUGAAGCGCGCCGGCUCUCAAAUGGGGACUGUUGCCUUAGUAAAUAUAUUAGACCGUAUUCCUAAAAAUCUAAGAUAAAAUCCUACGUUUAGGAUUUUAUUUCCUAAAGUUCCUACUAAAACUAUUUCGUAUACAAGUAUACCUAUACUUGUAUUUAUAUAAUACUAAUUCAAUGAACCUAAGAUUGGAUAACCGAUAUUUAGGAAAGAUCCCUAAUUACUUACUAAAAUUGGAUUUAGGAUGUGUACGUUAGUUGUUUUGACCAAUAAUAAUUUGAAUAAUGGCGCCUUCGCAACUGUUCUUCCAAAGUGAGGCAGAUCGCUCUUUUUAUAAGCUUUGACCCGUUUAGGAAUUUAGCAGAGAUGUCUCAUUAAAUCAGAUUGCACUUAGGAAUUUUUUAAGCCAAUCAGAGUUGGGUAGGAAAUCUCAUCCUAAAAUACGCUAAGCGGAAUUUCCAAGUAAAAUUACGAGUAAUACGACAUACAUAAAAAUGUGAGCAAUAAUACACAAAGACAAUAUAUCUCUUAUGGUAUUAAAUCAAAUGAUGAGUAACAUUUAGGUAGAUAAAAUGUAAUUGGUGCAAUAAAAUAGAGAAUUCCGUUGAUUGAAAGUUCCAAAUUUACACCGCGACUGAACUAACAAAUAGUGCGCACUUCUUUCACAAAAAAUGAACAAUAAUGUAAAGUUUCAGUGACAGUUAAUGAUUAAAAUAUGUUUCUAACAUCCUAUCAUUGAACAUUACACAAAAUGAUACAAAUAUGCUGCAUUAGAAUAUGAAAAUGGAUGUAUUUCUACACACUGCAGUAAACAACAUGGCAGCCUCCAUAAAUUUAAGGAACAGAUUUAGGAAGUUGACAUUCACACAAAAUACAGAUAAACAGAUGGAGUACAGUUAAUAAAUGGUGACAAUUUAGUUAAAGUGCAAUGUACUCCUUAGAAAUAUGAAAUAACAAAACGAUACAUGCAUAAACAUGGGAGAAAACGUGCAAGAUAAUAACUGACAUUGCAGGAUAAAAAAAGAUCUAUUGUUUGUAACACUAUGGACGAUGGACCUGAUUGAUAGUAGAGUCAGGGAUGGCAGAUAUAGAAGAAAAUGAUGGUAGAGUUAUUGACGGGUCAUAUCAUGCCGAUGAAAUACCAUAUGUGUUUGGAUUUACAAUUCGGUCAAAUGCGUCAAUAUCUGGCGACACGCUUUCAAAUUAUACCAAAGAAGAAAAGCAAAUUUCGAGGACAACGAUGACGUUUUGGUCAAAUUUUGCAAAAACUGGAAACCCAAAUGUACCGGGAAAAGCCUCGUUAUUCUGGGCAGCGUUUAAUCUGACGUCACAGUAUUACUUUCAAAUAUCCAAUCAAAUGACGGAGGCGUCAGUAAAGGACAAGGCGCACUUUCAUCCCAGACGAAUGGCGUUUUGGUCACAUCUGAUCCCACAUAUGAUAAAUUUACUGCAAAGUACCACACAUGAAACAGGAAAGACAUCACACACUCAAAAUGAUAAAUUUCAUUUUGAUUUAACGGUAGUUCCAAUCAAAUAGAACUCUUCGUAUCUAUAAAUAGAAUAUCUGCCGGUUAUGUAUGAACAUUUCUACUUGUUAUUUUUGACAAAAGCAUUACAAGCAAUUUUCUUCUUCCAAAUUUUUUACGAAAAAAAAAUGACUACAUUUCGACAGAGCCUCGCAACUCGUUUAAUAAAUUCAAUAUGAAAAGACACUCGUAUAAUGUCCUCUAUGUAUAUAAUACGUUAAUGGAAGAAAUGCAAGGUUUGAUCUGCAUGCAGAUCUGUAAUUUGCAUGUUCAUUUACAUAUUUAUACAUGUUCUUUAAAGAUUUGCAUUUUCGCUAGAAUUUGGGCAAAAGGCACAUAAUGAUGAAACAUUGCAGCAUAUUUAAGGGAAAUAAUUGAUGGACACUUGACUAAGUUAGACAAUACACACAUAAUGUUUAUGACAAAAAUGACAUCGUUGAAAGUUAAACCAGUGUAUAUCAAUGAACAUAAAAAGACAUGUUUUGUACAUAUAUUAAAUUAAAUCUCAAUGGGUUCCUGUGAAUUCUGAGCUUCUGUAUUUCAAUGAUGAAUGUUUUCGCUCGAAAAGGCUACAGACACUAAAGAAUAGAACUGGAUUUUUUUAUUUCGUCUGUAUGACCUUAAUCUCGAAGCUAUAGGGAUCUAGGUCUUGCGCACAUUACACUGCUUUACUAUAGGAAGCAUUUGUGCCGAGUUACGCCAAAAAUCCUUUUUUGAUGAUUUACAGAUCUAUUGUUGGUAAUACUAUGGACGAUGGACUGAUGGAUAGUAGAGUCAGGGAUGGUAGAUAUAGAAGUAGUGGAUGAUAGAGUUAUUGACGGUAUAUAUAGUUAUGGAUGGAAGGGUUAUUUUGAGUAGACUAAUAAGUCGUAGACUUGUUGACAUCAGAGUUAUAGAUGGUAAAAUUCUGGAAGUAGACUUAUAGAUGGUAGUUUAUUGAUGGUAAAGUUAUGGGCAGUAUAAGAAUUAUAGACGGUACAGUUAUGAAUGGUUGAGUUAUAAAUGAUAAAGAGGAUGGUUGUUUAUUUAGCAAUAAAAUCAACAAAGAGAGGUAACUAAAAUGAUACAUUUCAAGGAGGAAUGAGUGAUGGAGAGAAAUAUCUCACUGAUAAGUUUCAGUCUUUCAUUAAUCAGAAUAAAAUAAAAAAGAAUAAUAGAUGAUAGGAUUAUGGAUUGUGAAAUAAUGAACGGCAGAGUUAUAGAGUUAUUGACGGUAGUAUGUAAAAAUGGUAGAGUUAUAGAUAAUUUGAUUGUUGGACGGACGGAAAUUCGGACUCAUCCCACUUCUUUGUCCGCCGGUUUUGCCUGUGAAAACGGCAGUGGUAGAAAACAUAGACUAAGUCUUCUAUGCCUCACAAGAACAAACUUAUAACAUCCUAGAGAUAAUGAGGGAUGAUGCAAAAAUAAUUGUUCUUAUUUCAGGGAAAUGGGUGGGGGUGCACCCACUACCAAAGUUACAGAUUUUAAAGUACUUCUUACAAUCACAGACUCUUUAUUCUAUACUUAAACACAUCAAAUAGAUGUCCAUGUGCAUCAAUGACCAAUCAAUCAUUCUUAAACCUGUCUCCGUUUACAAUGACCAUUUAGGUUAUACAAAAUGUAUAAUAUCUAUCAAUGACAAGGUAUUCAAGCUCAUUGUUACAUCACUUCUUUCCAGCUGACAAUUUAAAACAACUUCAUGUGAGAGCACGUAGAGGUCUUCUAAGAUUUGAUGCACAGCAUUAAGAUUUUUAUCUUAUCAUUUUGUGUUUUGUUUUCAAAUGUUCUAUGCGCUGACCGACAGGUAUAAUUUUAGCAUUCAUACAUAUAUUAAAACGCUUUUGAUACACUGAAUAUGUUUGUUUUGGGUAGGUAAUUCAAUUUUAAUCAAU